AAGUCGUAACAAGGUUUCCGUAGGUGAACCUGCGGAAGGAUCAUUAACACGUAUCCAAACGUUAAAACCCCCCCCGUGAACCUUCAUCCUGCUCUUGUAACCCGCGUAGUUCGCAAUCUCUGAUAAAUCAUAGCCCGGAAAGUUGUAGUGAUUCAGAGACCUCUGGCUACGUGCGAACAUUGGAACAGUUACAAUCGAGCGGUAGUUCUAUAGGCAAUGUUUCCCCAAGCAGUCAGUGUCGGAAAGUGUCAUUGAUUGUGCAAGGAUAGCGCUUCUACAAUUCCUGUAGACUGUACACUCGGGCAGUUUAAUGUGAAGCUCAAUGUAAUACAUUGGGUAAAAAAACCGAACAACUGUUAACAAUGGAUAUCUUGGUUCUC
rnacentral:misc_RNA from 1 species